GAUGAACGCUGGCGGCGUGCCUAAUACAUGCAAGUCGAGCGAACACACGAUAGUGCUUUCCCUCUCUGACGUUCGCGUCGCACGCGUGAGUGACACGCGUGUAACCUUCCUAUUUCACUGGGAUAACUUCGGGAAACCUUACCUAAUUCCCGCUUAUAUUUAACUUCGCAUGACACAAUAGUUACAGACCUUUCUGCUGUCACUUAUAGAUUGACCCGCGGUGUAUUAGCUAGUUGGUGGGGUAACGGCUCACCAAGGCGACGAUACGUAGCCGACCUGAGAGGGUGAUCAGCCACACUGGAACUGAGACACGGCCCAGACUCCUACGGGAGGCAGCAGUGGGGAAUAUUGCGCAAUGGGCGAAAGUCUGACGGAGCAAUGCCGCGUGAGUGAAGAAGGUUUUCGGAUUGUAAAACUCUGUUGUAAGGGAAGAACAAGAGCGGGAGUAACUGAAGGUGUCUUGACGGUACCUUAAGAGAAAGCAACGGCUAACUACGUG
rnacentral:rRNA from 1 species